AAGUCGUAACAAGGUCUCCGUAGGUGAACCUGCGGAGGGAUCAUUACUGAGUGAGGGCCUCCGGUCCGACCUCCAACCCUCUGUGAACCAACACUGUUGCUUCGGGGGCUCCCCUGCCCUUCGGGCUCAGGGCCCCCGGAGGAAAUCAAAAUCUGCAUCUCUGCGUCGGAGUAUCAAUCAAAUUGAACAAAACUUUCAACAACGGAUCUCUUGGUUCUGGCAUCGAUGAAGAACGCAGCGAAAUGCGAUAAGUAAUGUGAAUUGCAGAAUUCAGUGAAUCAUCGAAUCUUUGAACGCACAUUGCGCCCCGUGGCAUUCCGCGGGGCAUGCCUGUUCGAGCGUCAUUUCACCACUCAAGCCUCGCUUGGUAUUGGGCGUCGCGGCUCCGCGCGCCUCAAAGUCUCCGGCUGAGCUGUCCGUCUCCCAGCGUUGUGACACACGAUCGCUCCGAGUUCGAACAGCCGCGGCCGUUAAACUUAUCUAAAGGUUGACCUCGGAUCAGGUAGGGAUACCCGCUGAACUUAA
rnacentral:rRNA from 1 species